UCGAAAGUUCAAUCGCAACCUCCCUGCACCUUUCUCCUUCUACCAUUGCCCAGGAAGACAACUCCACCUUUCAAGACUUCCUGCCUACCAUUGCCCAUAGUCUUUCAAAAGCACCAAAACUUACAAACACAACACACGGUCACGCACUCCCCAGUCUCCAGUCUCCAGUUUCAAGUUUCAACACCCACCCCCCCCCCAUCCCACCGCCCACAAACAAAGACGCUGCUAUGAUGCCAAGCUAUAAAUACAUGAUCAUCCCAUGAUCAUGCGACCUAAAACCAGAAAGCUCUUUUAAACCGAAAACCCCGAAAGUUUAUAACAAUUUCUUGAAAAAAAAAAAAGUCCAGAAACGUGACAGAAAUGGAAAUUCAAGCUAUUCAUGGAAGUGGCAUCACGGCUUGCUCAGCUCAGGCUCCAGCGGGAGGAAGUCUUGGGAGCCACUUGGCUAAGCGGCUGGUGCAGAUUGGCGUGAAGGACGUGUUCUCAGUUCCUGGGGACUUCAACCUAGCGCUGUUGGAUCAUCUCAUAGCCGAGCCGGAGUUGAAUCUGAUCGGCUGCUGUAAUGAGCUGAACGCUGGAUACGCAGCUGGCGGCUACGCACGCGCCAAGGGAGUCGGAGCGUGUGUGGUGACGUUCACUGUGGGUGGGCUGAGUGUGUUGAAUGCAAUCGCUGGGGCUUAUAGUGAGAAUUUGCCAGUCAUAUGUAUCGUUGGUGGGCCCAAUUCCAAUGACUAUGGGACCAACCGGAUCUUGCAUCACACUAUUGGGUUACCCGAUUUCUCUCAGGAGCUCCGGUGCUUUCAGACAGUUACUUGUAUUCAGCUUGCAGGACAACCUCUUUUCUUUUGGGAGACAACUCCACAGCCCAGGAAGCAUACCCUGUGGUAGGCAACAUCUGAUUUUACUUGGGGUCAGGCCAGCAUACAAAGGCGUCAUUUUCUGCAGUGUCCACAAGGCUUGUUGGGAAAGCAUUUCGAAAAGCUUAUUCAAUGUGAUCCUCGUCUUAACUUCCUGAGUAAACAAGGAGUGAUAACGUUGGAUUCUCCAUAUUUUGAACCCAGAAUCUCUGUGUUUGAUGACCCAAGUGAAAACAAAGCUGCAUUUGAUUUGAACAAUCAUGAGAGUCCCACUUUCUUCAACUUGAAGGGAUGCAGCAUCACCAUCAGGUGGUCAAUCAUCAUCUUCGAGGAAUAAACAAGACAUUGUUAGUAGACCUCGAGAAGACAUGAAACACCAUCACCCAGCUCAGUAAUGGAUACGCAUGUAAUUGAAGAAAUAAAAAAUGGUGGAGGAGAGCAAACAUGAUAUGGUUAUGAAGCUCUUACAAGCUACUUCGAUUAUGGACUUCGCCAAUUAAUGCAAACAUGAUACUCAUUGUAUAUUGGCACAGGGUCUAUCUUAGCAUUUGUUAUCUCUAGCAAUUUUGGUUGUACAUAUUAAAGCCCAAUUAGAAUUUGAUUUGAGUAUCUUUGUGCUUUGUACUGUUGAUAGUAUUGGUUGUAAUAUAUUAUUGCUCGUUUUGUAUUUGUAA